rnacentral:rRNA from 1 species
GACGAACGCUGGCGGCGUGCUUAACACAUGCAAGUCGAACGGACAGGUCCUGCUCUUGUUGGUCUCUCGUGUGGCGCACGCGUGAGUAACACGUGAGUAACCUGCCCCUGACUUUCGGGUAUCUCUUCGAAACUCCGGCUAAUACCCGAUAUGAGCUCCUGCUGCAUGUUGUUGGUUGGAAAGUUUCGGCGGUUGGGGCUGGACUCGCUGGUUAUCAGCUUGUUGGUGGGGUAGUGGCUUACCAAGGCUGUGACGGGUAGCCGGCCUGAGAGGGUGACCGGCGACAUGGGGACUGAGAUACGGAGCAGAAGCCUACGGGAGGCAGCAGGCGGGAGUAUUGCAGAAUGAGCGGAAGCCUGAGGCAGCAACGCCGCGUGCGGGAAGAUGGGCUACGAGUGGUAAACAGAUUUGGACGGAAACGAAGAGGGAGUGACGGUAAUGGGUAAGAAAGCAACGGCUAACUACGUG